AUUGAACGCUGGCGGCAGGCUUAACACAUGCAAGUCGAGCGAGCGGAGGACGGGUGAGUCAUGUCUGGGAAACUGCCUGAUGGAGGGGGAUAACUACUGGAAACGGUAGCUAAUACCGCAUACCAUCAGAUGUGCCCAGAUGGGAUUAGCUAGUAGGUGGGGUAAUGGCUCACCUAGGCGACGAUCCCUAGCUGGUCUGAGAGGAUGACCAGCGACAAGGGAACGGAUGCACGGGCCAUACUCCCACGGGAGGCAGCAGUGGGGAAUAUUGCACAAUGGGCGCAAGCCGGAGACAGCCAUGCCGCGGGUGUGAAGAGGGCCUUGGGGUUGUAAAGCACGUUCAGCGAGGAGGCGUUACUCGCAGAAGAAGCACCGGCUAACUCCGUGCCAACAGCCGCGGUAAUAC
rnacentral:rRNA from 1 species